rnacentral:rRNA from 1 species
UACGUAGGGUGCAAGCGUUAAUCGGAAUUACUGGGCGUAAAGCGUGCGCAGGCGGUUAUGUAAGACAGAUGUGAAAUCCCCGGGCUUAACCUGGGAAUUGCAUUUGUGACUGCACGGCUAGAGUGUGUCAGAGGGGGGUAGAAUUCCACGUGUAGCAGUGAAAUGCGUAGAUAUGUGGAGGAAUACCGAUGGCGAAGGCAGCCCCCCUGGGAUAACACUGACGCUCAUGCACGAAAGCGUGGGGAGCAAACAGGAU